rnacentral:rRNA from 1 species
GGGCCCGCACAAGCGGAGGAACAUGUGGUUUAAUUCGAUGAUACGCGAGGAACCUUACCUGGGCUUAAAUGUAGAGUGCAUUUUCUAGAGAUAGGAAUUCCCUUCGGGGCUUUCUGCAAGGUGCUGCAUGGUUGUCGUCAGCUCGUGCCGUGAGGUGUCGGGUUAAGUCCCAUAACGAGCGCAACCCUUAUCGUUAGUUGCCAUCUGGUAAAGCAGGGGACUCUAGCGAAACUGCCACCGUAAGGUGAGAGGAAGGUGGGGAUGACGUCAAAUCAGCACGGCCCUUAUGUCCAGGGCUACACACGUGUUACAAUGGUCGGUACAGAGGGCAGCUACCUGGUGACAGGAUGCUAAUCUCGAAAACCGGCCUCAGUUCGGAUCGAAGUCUGCAACUCGACUUCGUGAAGCUGGAUUCGCUAGUAAUCGCGCAUCAGCCAUGGCGCGGUGAAUACGUUCCCGGGCCUU